GAAACCUGGUCUAGAGUCGCAAAGCACAUCUAGGGAAGUAUUAAAAAAAUGUACCUAAACCAAAACACACAUACUUUUCAUUUAUUCUUCUCGGUGUCAGAGGAAAUUCAUUUCAGCAGGUCAGUGCAUGGAGCAGGACACUGAGUUGAAGAGCAUGGGGCUGCUGCUGACAGCUUUGCAAAUGCACAUCACCCCAGCAAGAAAGCCAGGCACCAAGAUACCCGUGUGCUCACAAACGGCAUCUCCCUUGGCUCUAACGCAGCAGUUGUAUUUCGCAUUUCAAGUUUUGUUCUCUCUGACUAUGGAGCAUCCUCGGUCACCAUGUCCACAGCCAUGCCUCCAUCGACACAGCCAUGCCUCCAUCGACACAGCUGCCCAGAAGGUGAAGGCUUCAUGAACAAAGAUUUGACCAUUUAACAUACUCAGUCUGUUGAGAAACUUUCUGGGAUGAACCAACUAAAAGGAGGCAGCUGAACUACUGACAUGUUGCUUACUCCUGGAAACCUCCUGGAGAAUCUGCAAAUUUCAUUCAAAGGCUUUUAGGAGUUCUUCAUAUUCUUGAGGUAUGGUAUCUUCUCAAGGAAUUCUUCUUUCUGCGUUCUCUCAACAGCAGCUGAAAAUCAAUGAUUAUAAACCCCUAGUCACACCUGUAACUUCCCUUUCCCUUGUACUAAAUGUCUCUCCAUUAAAUGGCUCUCCUUUAUCUUAAAUGCAAAUUUUACACAGAAGAAAAUAUAUUUUGCUAUGAAACCAAGAAAUAUAUGGGGUUCUCCAGUUUGCUAUCUCCAGAUUCAUAAAAAACCUCAAAUAUGACUGAGAGGCUGAAGAAGAAGCCAAGUUCAAGCCAAGCUCAGAAGAGCCAAGCCAGUACAGGUGACAGUCCUACAAUGCACAACAUUUUCCCAAAGCCCCACUUACUUUAUUCCCUGGGUUCCAAGAGGAACUUUCAUUUGUUUAUGAACACACCACUAACUACAGAUGACAAUUCUCUAAAUACAAUGCAUUCAGAUGGGUGAGAAUUUAUAACUUUCGGUUUCCAACUUUCACUAAAAUAUGGUCAUAUUAAAUAACUGAAAAUGAGUAGGAAAAGAAUCUCAUUGAUUGUCGAUGGUUAUAUGUGAUACUAAAGUGCAGGACACUAGUAAAUACCUCUGAGGAAUUGACAGACAGCAAUAUAGCAACUGGAAUAUAGCAGGUAGGGAAACUGCAGG